rnacentral:sRNA from 1 species
UGCCAUUGCAGUGAAAUUUGAUUCCUCUUUUCUGAUGAAAAGGAUGACCUGAAAAAAGGACACAAGAAAAGCGGAUUUUUAUGAAAUUUUUGUGUUGUUAAAAGAAUAUAUACGAGACGGCCUAAUAAGAGAGGAAAAAAGAUCGGUUGCCUCCCCUCUGUUGGAAUGCAGCGUUGGAUUUUUGAAUGAGGGCGUAGAUGCCAGGCGAUUAGAGGCAGGAUUAUGCAAAUUGCUCUCACGGACGAGCACAUCAUGAGGCAAUUUGUGGGGUUCGUCGUCUGAUGCAGCAAAUAUUUUGGACAUCUAUUGGAGCACCGUGGAUACGGCAUGUUGUCAGAAAAUUGGGCGUCGUCGCAAGGGAGCAUCAGGUCAUCUCGUCGUCAAGGUACAUGUUUCAUUCUUGCAUGGAAUGUCGUCAGGUGUAUAAAGUAUCACAGAUGGUUGAGAGUCAGCAGUCAACAUCGUUAUAAAUAUUCAACAUUUAUAUUGCAAGGAAGAUGUACAGAGAAGACAAGUUAACUAUGUCACAAGGUUCGCAGAGAUGAUGCAGGCAUUGAGAACAGGAUUAAAGACAACAUGUAACAAGUUUCCGGUGCUUAGGAGGUAAAAAAAAAAUUUGGGAAAAUUGGGGAAUACUCCGGGAGACUCUCCGUUCCCUCGACCACAACCGACUGGGCCCUGGAGCAGAAAGGAAGUGUGGCAUUAAAGCCCGCCAACGUAAUUUUGAAAUUAUAAAAUUGUUAAAUGUUAUUUGCUUUUUAAAAAUUGUUAAAGCCAAA